UAAGUUGUUAACUCGUUAAGUCCGUCAACCUUGUUUUGAAGACCUGUUCGCAGGCUAGAACAGCUUUAAAACAAGAUGGCGUCUUUCGAAAAGCUUUCAAGAGUAGUAUUAGUAAACGUGGUAUUAAUAGACUUUAUCCUGACUUUAUUUUGAUAAAAUCUUCUUCUAUAGCAGUCUUGGACUGAUAUAACUCUUACAGUCAAACCGGAUGUUCUGUUCCCAUGAGUAUUGCAACAUU